CUGGGAUAAGCCUGGGAAACUGGGUCUAAUACCGGAUAUGACCACGAGUCGCAUGGUUUGUGGUGGAAAGAUUUAUCGGUGCGAGAUGGGCCCGCGGCCUAUCAGCUUGUUGGUGGGGUAAUGGCCUACCAAGGCGACGACGGGUAGCCGGCCUGAGAGGGCGACCGGCCACACUGGGACUGAGACACGGCCCAGACUCCUACGGGAGGCAGCAGUGGGGAAUAUUGCACAAUGGGCGGAAGCCUGAUGCAGCGACGCCGCGUGCGGGAUGACGGCCUUCGGGUUGUAAACCGCUUUCGACAGGGACGAAGCGUGAGUGACGGUACCUGUAGAAGAAGCACCGGCCAACUACGUGCCAGCAGCCGCGGUAAUACGUAGGGUGCGAGCGUUGUCCGGAAUUACUGGGCGUAAAGAGCUUGUAGGCGGUUUGUCGCGUCGUUCGUGAAAACUUGGGGCUCAACCCCAAGCUUGCGGGCAGAUCG
rnacentral:rRNA from 1 species